rnacentral:tRNA from 1 species
CCAUAGCUCAGGGGUUAGAGCAUUGGUUUAGUAAACCAAGGGUUGCAAGUUCAAAUCUUGCUGG